ensembl:lncRNA
GAGCACAGAUCUCUCACACAGGUGAGGACGCGUUUGAGCUGCACUCGGUGCAUCUCGAGCUGGAGGCCAAGGGGAAGCAGAUCCGAAGCAGGCCCAGUCGAGGGAGCGGAGAGCCGCGCUGGAAACAUCCCAGGCUGAUGCUCACAAGUCCGGGGGAUCCCGACAGAAAGAUAUGAAACUGUGUAUGAGAAAAUGUAGAUUGAGGGCCAGCUGCCCAGCCAGAUGCCGGUGGGAGUCGUGCCGGCAUUCCCAGCCCUGAGCUCUGCGUAGAAACAGUCCAAUCCCACAGACACGUGUGCUUAAAUCAUGCAAACAUCUUUUGGAUCUGUGAACCAAAACACAAGCCCGCAAUGAGCCUGGUGAGAUGAAACAAGCUCUCGUGGAAUGUCAUAUGAGGCCUGAUUUGCUGUUGCAAUUAAGUUUUAUCAUUCUGAAAAUUCACGUUUUACGAGAUGAAUUGACUUUUGCAGCAUAAAAAUCUUGAAAAUCCUCAUAAAAGGAGAUACAAUGAGAUGACCAGAGGGGCUUUUGGGAAGCGCUUCACAGGGAGAUGAGAAGAGAGGGGGAGAGGCAUGCUGAGAGACAGACUGAGAGAGAGAUGGAGAGAUAGCAAGACAGAGGAAGAGCAGAACACAAGGGAUCUUCUGAGGAAGAGAGAGAGAAACAGAGAAAAGGAU